AAGGAGCACCACGAGACCUGUUGCCCGCCCACAUCGUGUGGGAGUUCGGUGACUCAGGCGAUUCGUUGGAUGGCCUCACACCUGUAGUGGGUGGGGGUCUGGUGCACAACAAACUUUGAGAAACUGCCAGACACACUAUUGGGCUUUGAGACAACAGGCCCUGCGGUGCCGGACUCGUUGGAGUCCUGGUUGCCGGCCGCGAGUCCCGGAAGCGAUUCUGGUUCGGACGGUGUCUGUUGUUGCUCCAUCUUUGGUGGUGGGGUGUGGUGUUUGAUUUGUGGAUAGUGGUUGCGAGCAUCUAGCACGCAAGAGGAGUCUGGGUUUCCUUCGGGAGCCCGGGUUUUUGUUGUGUGUGUUUGAUGUGCAAUUUUUUUCUUCUAUUUGGUUUUAUCUGUGUUGUAAGUGUUUAAGGGCGCAU
rnacentral:misc_RNA from 1 species